GACAGAGGGGCCGAGCGUUAGGCGGAAUCACUGGGCUUAAAGCGUGUGUAGGCGGGUCGUUAAGUGCCUUGUGAAAUCCCACGGCUCAACCGUGGAACUGCUGGGCAUACUGCCGAUCUUGAGCCAGCUAGGGGCAACCGGAACAAACGGUGGAGCGGUGAAAUGCGUUGAGAUCGGAGGGAACGCCCGUGGCGAAAGCGAGGUCCUGGACCCUUUCUGACGCUGAGACGCGAAAGCCAGGGGAGCGAACGGG
rnacentral:rRNA from 1 species